rnacentral:rRNA from 1 species
UACAGAGGGGGCAAGCGUUAUUCGGAAUUAUUGGGCGUAAAGGGCGCGUAGGCGGCCUGGCAAGUGGAUGGUGAAAUCCCUCGGCUUAACCGAGGAACUGCCAUCCAGACUGCUUGGCUUGAGACCGGGAGAGGUGAGUGGAAUUCCCAGUGUAGCGGUGAAAUGCGUAGAUAUUGGGAGGAACACCAGUGGCGAAGGCGGCUCACUGGACCGGUACUGACGCUGAGGCGCGAAAGCGUGGGGAGCAAGCGGG